UUUCGCUGCCGACCCGCUUGUGCAGCUGACCUCCUUCUGCCAGCUGUGUACUUCUAGAAGCAUUGUCAUCCACUUGUGCUGUUUCUUUGCACCUCGUAGUCUCGCUGAAAUAUCCUCCACAUUCCUUACCUGCCCUUCUCUAUGCAAGGAAAGUACCUGCUUAUGUGUUUCGUACUAACUGUGGACGCCACCCCGUCAUCUAUACGUUACAUUUCAUGUGCAUCAAGGAUUGAUCAGUGCCAAUGGCCGAAACGACCAAACUGCCUCAUAAGAAACGGUUUUCCCAUUCCCUUCUUCAAAUGCUAGGUUUCGCCCUGUUUGUCUUCCCAAAGGCAACAAAAACUGCAUCAACGUCGACAGCGCUCGUCAUCUGAAGGACCCCAACCCCCCGUUGUUGUUUAGUAGCUAUGGUGCUCGGCUGCUAAGCACGAGGAUCGCGGGAUCGAAUCCGGCC
rnacentral:lncRNA from 1 species